AGCACAUCAGCUCCACCAGCUCCCCACUCCAUCGCUUUUUAUCCUUAGUGAACGACUGCAUUCUUCACUUCAGAACUUCAGAGUUCCCUUGCAGGGAGAGAAAAUGUAUCCCACUCAGCUUCCACCUGCCCUGCCAAGGCAUGAGUCAAUACAGAAAGGCUCUUUGAAACAAGUGCCUCCUCCCCCUUCACGCCCUCCUGCCAGGCAAACCAUUAGUUCUUACAGGGCUUCAUUUAGGACAUCGCAUCAGAUCAUACAUACACAAACUUUAGUAAAUGAAUCCAACGUACUCCUAUGCUAAGCUUUGCAUUUUUAACAUAAACAGCAAUAAAGUAAGAACCUCAGUUUA